rnacentral:rRNA from 1 species
CCUACGGGAGGCAGCAGUGGGGAAUAUUGCACAAUGGGGGAAACCCUGAUGCAGCGACGCCGCGUGAGUGAAGAAGUAUUUCGGUAUGUAAAGCUCUAUCAGCAGGGAAGAAAAUGACGGUACCUGAUUAAGAAGCCCCGGCUAACUACGUGCCAGCAGCCGCGGUAAUACGUAGGGGGCAAGCGUUAUCCGGAUUUACUGGGUGUAAAGGGAGCGUAGACGGCAGCGCAAGUCUGAAGUGAAAUGCCGGGGCUUAACCCCGGAACUGCUUUGGAAACUGUGCAGCUAGAGUGCAGGAGGGGUAAGUGGAAUUGCUAGUGUAGCGGUGGAAUGCGUAGAUAUUAGGAGGAACAUCAGGGGCGAAGGCGACUUACUGGACUGUAACUGACACUGAGGCACGAAAGCGUGGGGAGCAAACAGGAUUAGAUACCCUUGUAGUC